UGUAUGGUAUAUAUUACGUAUCUUUUUGUAGUUUUACAUUCGUAUUUGUAUUUAAAAUUCAACUUUAAAUUGUUUUCAAACAUUUUAUAACAAGAAUGAAGUUUGUCGGUUAGUUUUUGUUUGAUUAUUUACAAUUCUAAAUUGUUCAGUGUUGUCUACGUACUAGUUGUCAUAUAAGGAUUUUCGUACUCCUUAUGAUUGCGGUACAGCAGAUCAUUCAAGACAUGCUGAGAUAUAAAUUACCAUUUCUAACACAUGGGAAAAUGACAACAUCCUACGUUGAAAAUGGACUAGACGAUACUGAUAACAAUAAAAGUUUUAUGUAAAGUACGAGUAUUGGAUAUUGAAUAUAAUUGAUAGCAACAUAAUUAUAGUAUAACAAAAACUUAGUGUCAUGAAAUCCAGACCAUAAGAUUAAAUGGCAAUACAGCAGAUGAGCAAAGAAUGCUG